GACGAACGCUGGCGGCGUGCUUAACACAUGCAAGUCGAACGCUGAAGCUUGGUGCUUGCACUGGGUGGAUGAGUGGCGAACGGGUGAGUAAUACGUGAGUAACCUGCCCUUGACUCUGGGAUAAGCCUGGGAAACUGGGUCUAAUACUGGAUACGACAUGUCACCGCAUGGUGGUGUGUGGAAAGGGUUUUACUGGUUUUGGAUGGGCUCACGGCCUAUCAGCUUGUUGGUGGGGUAAUGGCUCACCAAGGCGACGACGGGUAGCCGGCCUGAGAGGGUGACCGGCCACACUGGGACUGAGACACGGCCCAGACUCCUACGGGAGGCAGCAGUGGGGAAUAUUGCACAAUGGGCGGAAGCCUGAUGCAGCGACGCCGCGUGAGGGAUGACGGCCUUCGGGUUGUAAACCUCUUUCAGCACGGAAGAAGUGAAAGUGACGGUACGUGCAGAAGAAGCGCCGGCUAACUACGUG
rnacentral:rRNA from 1 species